CGCUCCGCUCUAUGUUUGCCUCUUACAUUUAAACUCGCGGAGUUAGCGUUUUUCAACUCAUGAGUUUGAAAUGUUUGACCACUCUACAUGGAUUAUUGUUAUGAAAAUUGAUGAAAAAAAAUGUGUACACACACUCGCAAAAAUACGGAGGCUUAAACACCUUUCUUCUGGCCAAACCCGCUUUUCCCUGUCUGCAAAAAAAUUAAAAUUAAAUGUGCUUAGCUUCAAUAUCUUUGAUACUUUAAACAAUUACGUAGGUAUUUCUACAGGAUAACUUUGAACUUUAAAAUUCAGUCUAUUUUAAAAAUUUGUUUUUUUAACUCAAUUCAUGAGUGACGCUCUCAUCUAAUUCGGGCUCUUGUUUUUCCGUUUUUCCGAUUUUCGACUCUUCAGCAUAUGUAGUGCGCAUCAAAACGUAUGCACGCGCGCAGAUGGUCGUUAACUCCAAUUUUUCACUAAGCCUAAUGGAUCAUAUAAAACAUGUAUGGUAUGUUUAUAGGCACGUCGUUUACCUACGGAUUACGUUCAGCGUAGGAUUUCGGGAAAAUUUGCAUUGAGCAUUUAUCUUUGUUUCCAUAUCAUUUCGGGUUCCGCUCAGUCAUUUCACCUACGAGUAUACGCAACUUUGUAGCGUCAUUCUCAUUUUGGGGGUACCCGACUCCGGAGCGUACACUCUUUUUGCUACUGGACUGCUUGACUCGUUUACUUAACUGAGCACAUAUUGCUGUAAAAACUCUGGUGGUGCGUCCUGGCCCUGGUAGUCAAAUUUAGUCCCUUGGUUUGCCAAGUUUAUUUGAAUGAACUCUCUGUUCAGUGAAUCAGCCUGACGUCAGGCUGUAUUGGUUGACCGAAGGUAUUUCAUCGCACGUAGGACCAUCCUAUUCAUUUGUGCUUAGUUCUCUCGGUGCAUGUCGUUUUGUUUCAGCAUGAUGUUCUUCAGUCCAGUUUGUCCGUUUGAGAAUGUCGUUGUGGCGCUACGAUUGACGAUAUUUCAUUUCAGCUUGGUUUCGACUGCCCCCUUUUCACUAAGCGAAUAUUUCAUGGACGACUACUUUAGUAAUUGGCCUGGCGGACGGCCGAAAUUGCCAGCUUUGGUUCCGGACCACGUUGAUAAAUGGUACGGCACCCCACCUGUAACAACAACCGAUCCUCCAGACGAUGCCAUGAACAGACAACUGAAAGUCAGCGGCGUCAUCAUAUGGAAUAAAAACCCUUGCGAGCUUUACGAGGCAGGCUCCGAUAAAACAAGCAAUAGAGGUAGGCGGAAAGGAUGCGCCAACGCUGCAGGGCACCUGUGGGAUGCAGGCUUCCAGAAGGGAAGUUCCGACAUCUGCCCGGAUAUACAAGGUGCAGAAUGCUUCCAGUUUGUGAACCAUACGAAACCAGGGCGGUGCUACGCUAAAGUGAGAUACUUCAACGGCGCCAGGGGCUACGUAUUGCUUUAUACUUGCGCCCAAGAUUGGGCAAGGGUACAAACCACCAGAUUCCGCAACCCUUACGGCUUCAACGCCCAGGGACAGAGGCCAUUCGGACAGGGGGAGACUGGUGCAGCCACAAAUCCCGGUUGAAUGAACAAACGCUUUAACCCUUUUCAUUAGAUUUUAUUUUGUUUCUUUCUAUGUUUCAAUUUAGACAUAGGAUGGUAAUCAGGGCGUCUACCGGACCUCAAAAGUCCCCAAUGUCCCCGACUAUCCCCGAAAUUCCCUAAUUUUCUCGUUCAGGUCCCCAAAAAAUGACAAACACCGGCAUUUUCAAAUUUUCCCGCCAGCCGCGGCGGCGCGGUAUAACCAAGAAUAAAAAACUGAAGUUUCGCUUGAUUUUCGUAUUUUUUCAUCGGUUCAACAUGACUUGUAAAUUAGUCUUAUAAAAUACGCCUUUAAACGCUCUAACUAGCUCCCUUCACUAUUUCGGGGGGAAAAGUCCCCGAUUUUCUUGAAAAAACUCCCCUAAAAGUCCCCGAAAGUCCCCAAUUUUGGUUUUUCAUAACUGGUAGACACCCUGGUAAUAUGUAUUCCCUCGUCACGAAUUUAUUGUGUCUUUAGCACACAUAUACAAUCAUAUCCAUGUAAAAAAACACACACAAUAAAAUGGGUAAACUAGGCUAAA
rnacentral:lncRNA from 1 species